AAAAAUGUUUGCUUCUUUCCUCAAUAUUUUUACUAAAAAGGCAUUUGACUCUAAUGUUUGGGUUGGCACUCUAGUAGAGGGAAGGGUAGUCAAAUUUUAGCAUAAUCCUAUAAUGCAUCAAUGAGCCUUAAUCUGUGACGCAUGAAUACCUUUACAUACCUUGAUACUCAUCCACGUAUUCUGGAAACAGAUACAUGUAUAAUUACAGUGAAGAGAGGAAUUCUACCAUUAAACUUGUUAACAAUAGAAACAGAAUGGAUAGACAGACAUAGAAAAACAGAAAUAGAAUUGAUUAUGCAGUUCAUUCCGAGAGCGUCCAGAAAAGUCUAAGGUAAAAGGCAAACACUAAAGCCACUGCCUAAUGAAAGAACCUUCAAUAUAAGGAGUGGGAUGGAGCGGGAUGAGGUAGACGCUCAUGUGUAAAAAUGGAGAUGUGGACAUGGAGCUGCUAAAGUGACAAGCAGGCAGCAAUUACCUUUUCAGACAGCCAGGAUGCCAAGCUAUUUUAUAAAUGGCCAAAAACCAUAAAAGCCUCUUUUGAUGGAGGCCAAAGUAAUACAUAUAACCAUUGGAUGAAACAUAAGAUGCUGAUUUGCUGUCUGUUUCAGCGUUUAAAAGGAUGACAGCAUAGUGAAGUCAACACUGGUAACGGAUAGC
rnacentral:lncRNA from 1 species